ACCGCGGUAGCCCAGUUGGUAGUGGCGUCAGCAGUACAGAUGUCGCAGGUUCAAAUCCUGCCUGCGGAG